GCCCUUGUAGUAUAAACAAUACACUGGUCUUGUAAACCAGAAAUGAAAAAACUAUUUCCCAGGACA
rnacentral:tRNA from 1 species